AACGAACGCUGGCGGCAUGCCUAACACAUGCAAAUCGAACGAGACCUUCGGGUCUAGUGGCGCACGGGUGCGUAACGCGUGGGAACCUGCCCUUAGGUUCGGAAUAACUCCCCGAAAGGGGUGCUAAUACCGGAUAAUGUCUUCGGACCAAAGAUUUAUCGCCUUUGGAUGGGCCCGCGUUGGAUUAGCUAGUUGGUAGGGUAAAAGCCUACCAAGGCGACGAUCCAUAGCUGGUCUGAGAGGAUGAUCAGCCACACUGGGACUGAGACACGGCCCAGACUCCUACGGGAGGCAGCAGUGGGGAAUAUUGGACAAUGGGCGAAAGCCUGAUCCAGCAAUGCCGCGUGAGUGAUGAAGGCCUUAGGGUUGUAAAGCUCUUUUACCCGGGAUGAUAAUGACAGUACCGGGAGAAUAAGCGCCGGCUAACUCCGUG
rnacentral:rRNA from 1 species